rnacentral:tRNA from 1 species
GGGGGUACAGCUCAAGUGGUAGACCGUGUGCUUAGCAUGCAUGAGGUCCUAGGUUCAAUCCCCAGUACCUCCU